UGUUUUUUUUUUUAAUUUUUAAAUAGCUUGGGCAAUAUCGUAAAUAUACGAGUGUUAAAAGGGCGUUUCUGAACAAGUCUGAACUGAACUAAAAAAGAACGUCGUCUACCGAUUUUCCCUUACUCUCACUUUCCCUCUUCUCUGGCCACUGCCUCCGUCAACAACGUCACGUCCGCCAUCCGCGCCGGCAGCAAAGCCCUCCAUCUCCUCCAAAUUCAUCGACGUGACAUGCCUUCUCCCUCCCGGUCUGACCUGCAACCCACUGCCCCUUUAGGCCUUCACUAAGUAAAAUUUCUCCCAUUUAUCUGAACGACGACCAACAUUGCCUCACUCUUUUGUCGCUGCCACCACUGCCACCGUUAAAAUUGCUGUUGUAGCCGGUGGACCAUACCAUUGGAUCAGAUUUCACUUUUUUUCUCUCCAAGUUUUGCACGAGAUUUCGAAUAAGCCGAUAAUGACUUCAUCUCCUCGGGACUAGCAACAGACAUCAAAUUACACAUAUUCUGCAACCACAUGAGGAAGAAGAUCAGGACUUAUCUACCUUUUGAAGUGGCACACUAGCUGUUUGUAAGAUGAGGAACCUUCAACUUCCAGGAGUUCAAAUGAAGAGAUCAGGAGGUCUUUCGUCCAAAAGAGAUUGAUGAUUGGCCAUGAUGAGUAUGUUCUGAUUAUUAUUAUAAUUAUAUUUGUGCUUAUUAUUAUUGGCUUUUAUUUGGAUAUGAUUAGCAUAAAAAGAGAUCAGGAGGUCUUUCUUUUUCUCUUCUCUCUCCCGUCCUUCAAUUGAAUCAUCUUCAUUACUCCCCAUACCAAGAAUCACUAAAAUGAAUUGGAAAUCGAAUGGAUGGAAUUGGAAUUAAAGUAGUCUUGCACAUUCCAUUAUUCUGAUGGAAUUGGAUUCUGUCCAUUCGAAACCAAACACAACCUGGAUUAGAAUCUUGAAAUCUGAAAGAUUUUGAUUGAAUUGGAAUUGAGUUCCGUUCAUUGACAACCAAGUGCUCAGUGGAAUGGAAUCUUGAAUCAUGAAAUCGUAUUUUACCAAAGUUCUCGAUUAUGGCAUCAUACAUUACGAAGCAGCAAUCUACUUUCAUAUAAGUUGUAAUUGGGAAUUAUGGCAAAAGUACAUUGCUAUUAUGAGUAAAAAACAAAAUAUGUUGUAUAAUCAUGAAAAAACUGAAAAUGGUUUCUAUUAUGAUUAUUUGAAAGUAUGAAACUAUAAUGAAGAAUUUCAUAAAA